rnacentral:snoRNA from 1 species
GCCCUCUCAGGGUCACUCCUGGAGAGUUUUCAGUACUCUGCCAGUCUCAGCUAUGGGAGGGAGAGUCAAGCAGAGGCCUACCCAUUCCAUUCCUAGCUUGGCCAGUGGCUAGCGAAUGGAAGGCAAUCUGCUACAAGU